CCUACGGGAGGCAGCAGUGGGGAAUAUUGGACAAUGGGGGCAACCCUGAUCCAGCCAUGCCGCGUGAGUGAUGACGGCCUUAGGGUUGUAAAGCUCUUUUCUCCGGGACGAUAAUGACGGUACCGGAGGAAUAAGCCCCGGCUAACUUCGUGCCAGCAGCCGCGGUAAUACGAAGGGGGCUAGCGUUGCUCGGAAUCACUGGGCGUAAAGGGCGCGUAGGCGGCUGAUUUAGUCGAGGGUGAAAGCCCGUGGCUCAACCACGGAAUGGCCUUCGAUACUGGUUGGCUUGAGACCGGAAGAGGACAGCGGAACUGCGAGUGUAGAGGUGAAAUUCGUAGAUAUUCGCAAGAACACCAGUGGCGAAGGCGGCUGUCUGGUCCGGUUCUGACGCUGAGGCGCGAAAGCGUGGGGAGCAAACAGGAUUAGAUACCCUGGUAGUCCACGCUGUAAACGAUGAAUGCUAGCCGUUGGGGUGCAUGCACCUCAGUGGCGCCGCUAACGCAUUAAGCAUUCCGCCUGGGGAGUACGGUCGCAAGAUUAAAACUCUAAAUGAAUUGAGG
rnacentral:rRNA from 1 species